CCCAAGUAUAGGAAGGGGCACCGGGUCCAGGGAGGGACGCCGGGGCCUGCGAACAGGGGGUCACCAGCCGGCCGAGGGCGCUCCAGGGCAGAACUGCGGGGAAUUCUGAGACCAACCAGCAGGAGGCGCGGCAGGGACACUGGAGAAAUUGUUCCAAAACUUUGACUUAUCUGCGACGGAAAAUUCAGACUCCUUGCUCACUACCAACAGUGCCAGCCAAAUCUCUUGCUUCAUGUUUAAAAAUCAAGCUGGAGACCCAAUUCCCAGAAGAGGGAGAGAUCUAUCUGGGUGGAAGUUAGUACUGCUUCGUAAGAUCAGCCCUUGAGUAGCCAGAUGUCAAGAUAUAGGAAGACUACAUUGCUUCUCACUGAAGGUAUUUACUGCGAUGAGAAACCUUUGGGCCAAGUUCUUUUGUGGUUUAUGACAGCAAGAUGUGGGACCCACUUCCUGAGAGUCCACAGGAGCAAACCGUGAUGAUGCAGACCCAGAAUGAUCUUCUUAGUGCAAUCCAUACAGUGAAGGACUGGAUUUGACCUAUACGACAUAUGUUAUAAGAACCAACAAGAUGAUAAUGUUUCCUUCCAAUGAACAGCUAAAGACACACGGUAUUAUUCAUAUUAAAAUUAUUAUUUGAAUACCAAGGAAUGUUAGCAUACCAGGAAACAGCAAAUGCCAAAGGAUGUGUGUUUGUUUUUUAAAUAAGAAGUCAGCAGCAGGGUUUGUAUAACAAGGCAAAUGGAAAUUCCUGUGAAGAAGGGACCCACAACCAUU